UGUGCGGUGUGCGGUGUGUGUGUGUGACUCAGGCAGUGCACGCACAAAGCCCACAGGCGCACCCUGCAUCCGUGGCUGCCGCUCCUUCCUCCCCGCGGAGAAGAGAGGCUCCGUGAGGCAAAAAAAAAAAAGAAAAAGAUUCAUGUAUAUUCUGGCUCCUUCCUGACCUCUUCAGAGCAGCUCCUUAGAGAUAUCUGAGAGGCUGUCUCCCAAGCUAAGGGGCCAAAAGGUAAACUCGACUAACCAGAAGUAAUAAGAAGGUGAAAUGUUGCUCAAGGCCCGGCUAUCAGAUUACAAGUUCUGACCAACCCUGC